ACUUUUUUCUCAGAAUUUUGACUUUUUUCCGAUACUAAACUGAAACAAAAUUUAAAAAUCAGUUAACUUUUUUUUUUUUUCCCCCACUGGCCCUAAUCCUCUUCCGUACUUCUAGGCUUAAUGUGAAGAAAAAGUGAUUAGCAAAAUGUAAUUGGAAUAAAAUGCAAUCUGUAACACUGAAAAUAGGAAAAUGGAAAUAAAUAACUUGGAAAACAAAAAGUGAAUAAAAAACUUUUUGUAAGAAAUUUAAUUUGGGGAAAAAAAAACCCGAAAAAAUCUGAUAAAACUCAGAACUUUCUCUUAAAAACCUUCUCUAAUAAGGAGUUUUCAAAUUAUUAUUUCUGGAUUGUUUUUUUUGUUUGUUUUUUCAAAUUUCCAUUUACAAAACAUGUUUACUAGAACAAUAAUAAAUAACAUUAGUAAAAUAAUAAUAAAAUAAAACAAUAGUAAAAUUCACUCCAUACUUUAAUCCAUCUAAGCGUGCAAAUUUUAUUUAUUUUUAAGCUUGAGUUCCCCCUCUUUGGAGUAAUCCAAAAAAACCUGUUUUUGUUUUAUCUUUCAGCUAAAGGACUAGAUUUGUUAACAUUCUGAUGCCUCAUCAAGAACUUUAAGGCCAUUUUUCCCCCUUUUUUAUAAAUGAUGUCAUUUUGAAAAGCAUUGAGCACAACGUACAGUGUGUUAAAGCAUCUGCAUGGUUAGAUAAAUCGCUUAAAUUACACGAAGGUGGGAUACCGUCUACUAUUACGCUGGCUGAUGUUUUUAUCCAUUUCUUGACGUUAGAUCAUCAAAGAUGGAGAAAAAAAAAUACUGUUUGUACAAUCGGCUGAGGUAAUAUUUCUGACCAAGCAACAAAAAAAGAAACAAAAUCUUUCAUUUGGGUCAGACUGGCGGUCUAAGGGUUAAUAUCUAUGGAGACCCAUAAAGGAAUAAUUUUACAGCAAGCACCAAGUGACGUCCUCGUGGCCUUUUUGGAAAAAAACCUAAAAAGAAAAACUGAAAGUGUUUCUACGUAAUGUGGCUAAUUAUCAGUAUGACUCCCUGUAGGCGUAUUUCAGAGUUUUUGACUUGUCGAUUAAAGCCUGUGUGUGUGUGUGUGUGUGUGUGUGUAUUCUGUGAUAUGCCAGGGUCUAUUCAAAAUAGUGAUAGUAGAAGUGAGUACUGUUUAGUAAAUACGCAAUGGAUUGCCUACCUAUUGUCGCCAGCUCAUGUAUGCACCUGUGGAGUUUCGUGCACCCAGACUGAGUAGAGUUAAUAGAAACUGUUGUUAAAUCCAGAAAAAUAUGCUAUUUUGUACUUUAGAUUACUACAGAGAAUAUUUAUGCUUGUGGUUGGUGAUUACAGAACCAGCACUGAAACAUUUAUGUUUGCUUCAAUGAAUUUGGAGGGAUGGAGUUUUUUUUUUUUUUCAUCAUCAUCAUUUUUAUUAUUUUUACAGGGGUGGAUGGGAUUUAAUGAAGUGAGCUUUCCGAAGUUAUCUGAAAUGCUUCCUUUGCCAGUUGCAGGAAGAUGUGGUGUUGAUUGUUUGAUUUAAAACAGAGCCACUAAAGAAAUUAAAUACUGAUUAUUUGAGUGAGAAAAGGGCGUCCAUGUUGUCUUGGUUGUUGGUUUGGUUGCUAAGACCUAGCACCAAUGUAGAAUAAAAUAAGCCUUUACUUUUAAUUUGUUCUAUUAAGUUGUUAGAAAGCGGAAGAUUUAAGAAUAGAAUAAACUAAAAUUGGCUGAUUAAUUAAAUGCUGCUAGCAUACUGUUCUAUCUUUAAAAGGGCCUGGUUUGUAGCUAGCAUAAUAUUCGUCUAGCUAGCAAAAUGUUAUAUUUUCAAAGGACUGAGCUUGUGGUUACUGUAAUGUUCUGCCUUGAAAGGAUUGAGGUUGUAACUAGCAUAAUAUUCUGCCUUGAAAGGAUUGAGGUUGUAGCUAGCGUAAUGUUCCUCCUUGAAAGGACUGAGGUUGUAACUAGCGUGAUGUUCUGCCUUGAAAGGAUUGAGGUUGUAGCUAGCGUAAUGUUCCUCCUUGAAAGGACUGAGGUUGUAACUAGCCUAAUGUUCUGCCUUAAAAGUAUUGAGGUUGUAACUGGCGUAAUAUUCUGCCUUAAAAGGGCUGAGGUUGUAACUAGUGUAAUGUUCUGCCUUGAAAGGAUUGAGGUUGUAUCUAGCGUAAUGUUCUGCCUUUAAAGGACCGAGGUUGUAGCUAGCGUAAUGUUAUGCCUUGAAAGGACUGAGGUUCGAGCUAGCGUAAUGUUCUGCCUUGAAAGGACUGAGGUUGUAACUAACGUAAAGUUCUGCCUUGAAAGGAUUGAGGUUGUAACUAGCGUAAUGUUCUACCUAGAAAGGAUUGAGGUUGUAACUAGCCUAAUGUUCUGCCUUGAUAGGAUUGAGGUUGUAACUAGCGUAAUGUUCUUCCUUGAUAGGAUGGUGUUGUAACUAGCGUAAUGUUCUUCCUUGAAAGGAUUGAGGUUGUAACUAGCAUAAUGUUCUUCCUUGAAAGGGUUGAGGUUGUAACUAACGUAAUGUUCUGCCUUGAAAGGGUUGAGGUUGUAACUAGCGUAAUGUUCUUCCUUGAAAGGAUUGAGGUUGUAACUAGCGUAAUGUUCUUCCUUGAAAGGAUUGAGGUUGUAACUAGCGUAAUGUUCUUCCUUGAAAGGAUUGAGGUUGUAACUAACGUAAUGUUCUGCCUUGAAAGGAUUGAGGUUGUAACUAGCGUAAUGUUCUGCCUUGAAAGGGUUGAGGUUGUAACUAGCGUAAUGUUCAGCCUUGAAAGGAUUGAGGUUGUAACUAACGUAAUGUUCUGCCUUGAAAGGAUUGAGGUUGUAACUAACGUAAUGUUCUGCCUUGAAAGGAUUGAGGUUGUAACUAACGUAAUGUUCUGCCUUGAAAGGAUUGAGGUUGUAACUAGCGUAAUGUUCUGCCUUGAAAGGGUUGAGGUUUUAACUAGCGUAAUGUUCUGCCUUGAAAGGACUGAGGUUGUAACUAGCGUAAUGUUCAGCCCUGAAAGGACUGAGGUUGUAACUAGCGUAAUGUCCUGCCCCGAAAGGUCUGAGGUUUUAACUAGCGUAAUGUUCAGCCCUGAAAGGACUGAGGUUGUAGCUAGCGUAAUGUUCUUCCCUGAAAAGACUGAGGUUGUAGCUAGCGUAAUGUUCUACCUUGAAAGACUGAUGGGGUGCUUAUUAAACCUCCACAUCACAACAUGGUGGUUCCAGUAGCUGAAACCUAGCCAAACGGCAAAAUAUAUUCAUUUUUGUUUUUUCUAUUGGAAACAAAGUGUAUUACGGCCUUUCUCGAAUGUCUGUAUGCAGUAAUACGGACUGCCAACCCAUCCUUUAGCAGCAGCUAAUUUGGUGUUACUUGCAAAAUACAGCUGAUAAUAAAUGUCUGCUAUUCCUAAACAGACCAUUUUUAAGUCUGUUGUUUUCCUAUCCAAUUAUUAGAUAGAUUACUACACAAGGUUAAGUAGGCGGAGCCUAUUGGCUCUGAGUUGUCCGUCCACGCCAAGGCAGACAAGAGAGGAUUCUAGGGUCAGAUAUUGUACCAGGCAACAGUAUUGAACCCGCAAAAGAACAGGGAUGUUCUUUUGCGGCUCUCUUAGCUGUUUGUAGAUGAUCCCAGUGGAUUGAUGAUCAGCUGAUCUGGCAGGCUGAUGUAGCCACACUCAGGCAAUGCAACCUUUCAUGCUAACCAAGACGUUUGACGUUUGAAAUCAGCAAAUAUACAUGUCUGGAGAUUCUGAUAGAAAAAGCAACUCUGAGGAAGAACUUCAUAGAACCUCACUUCUUAAAAUCCUAACUAUCCCUUUAAUGUCCUGGUUCUUGGUUUGGUUUUCAUCACAUACGUUGCUCUGUUACCACAUGUCUGUUUGUUUCAUAUAAAGAAAAAAUAGCUAACAGGGUCAAGUGAAUAUAUCUGAAUGUUUAAAAAAAAAUCACCAAAAGUAAAUAUAUAUAUGCUAUAUAGACAUUCUAUGGAUAGAAUAUAUAGAUAUAUAUUGAGAAGAAAAUAUCUAUAUUUACAGAGUCACUAGUGAAUCAGCUGCUUUGUUCUGUCCAGGUGGAGGUAGUGCAGGUGCAGAUAACUGCAACAAAAGCCAUGUAGAGCGGUGUUUAUGUGUCUGACAGAAGAGGUAGGCGUGUUGGCGAAGGCCAAAGCACCGGGGGGGGGUGGGGGUCAGCUACGGGAAGCUACACUGUGGGAUCAUCGGUGAAUCGUCCUCGUCUCUCAAGCCGCUGCCUUCGGGCAGAAGGUGAGAGUUCAGGGUCAGGUCUUAGUUCCUCCUUUAUUUGAGGAACUCGCGCCGCCGUCGGCACACACUUGGAAAUUGAAAAAUCUUGUCAUGGAUGAUCCGUGUUUGACUCACUUUAACAAGCUGAGGGUUAAAAAGGGUUAGAAAAAUGAAGUCAAAGAAAGAAAGCAAAAAAAAACCUGGUGCUUGUGACUGUUUGUGUACAUGAAGAACCUGAUGUGAGAAUAAAGUUGUUUGUUGAUGACA